rnacentral:rRNA from 1 species
CUUCGGGCGGAAGACUUUAUUUCGAGUGGCGGACGGGUGAGUAACGCGUGGGUAACCUGCCUCAUACAGGGGGAUAACAGUUGGAAACGACUGUUAAUACCGCAUAAGACCACAGCACCGCAUGGUGCAGGGGUAAAAACUCCGGUGGUAUGAGAUGGACCCGCGUUCGAUUAGCCAGUUGGCGGGGUAACGGCCCACCAAAGCGACGAGCGAUAGCCGAUCUGAGAGGAUGACCGGCCACAUUGGGACUGAGACACGGCCCAAACUCCUACGGGAGGCAGCAGUGGGGAAUAUUGCACAAUGGGGGAAACCCUGAUGCAGCGACGCCGCGUGAGUGAAGAAGUAUUUCGGUAUGUAAAGCUCUAUCAGCAGGGAAGAAAAUGACGGUACCUGAGUAAGAAGCCCCGGCUAACUACGUGCCAGCAGCCGCGGUAAUACGUAGGGGGCAAGCGUUAUCCGGAUUUACUGGGUGUAAAGGGAGCGCAGACGGCUCUGCAAGUCUGAAGUGAAAGCCCGCGGCUUAACCGCGGGACUGCUUUGGAAACUGCAAGGCUUGAGUAUCGGAGGGGCAGGCGGAAUUCCUAGUGUAGCGGUGAAAUGCGUAGAUAUUAGGAAGAACACCGGUGGCGAAGGCGGCCUGCUGGACGAAAACUGACGUUGAGGCUCGAAGGCGUGGGGAGCAAACAGGAUUAGAUACCCUGGUAGUCCACGCGGUAAACGAUGAAUACUAGGUGUUGGUGCCCGAAGGGC